rnacentral:misc_RNA from 1 species
GAACGCGUCAGCACGUACGCAAUCCGCAAGGCAGUGUGCACCACCCCAAGAGAAAAGAAACUUUCGAUUUGUGAGCCUAAGGCACGCCCGCAAAUGUCGCGAAAACGACGGCAGCGGGCGGCCACUGUCAGCGGUACCCCCUUCCCUGUCUCCCUCGCCUCUGCGGCCUCAUCAGCGUCGUCUGAGCAGCUGCCGAACGGCACGACUCGUAGUCGCACAAAAUGCAGAGAGAAUGGCGACGGGUGUUGUGUGUCAGCGCGGCACAGCCCGCAUCCAGAGCCUCCGUCCCUCUCCCGCUCAGAGGCUGUCCGUGCGGCUCAUUCACGCGUGAGCAGCAGCGGCAGCGGCGCCAUUCAUCGCGAAGAGCCGUCGGUGGUGGGUAUGGAGGACUUCCCUUCCCCUGUGCCGUACCUCCGUCGCGUCGCCAGCUCUGACGGGUAUCUUAAUGGCAGUAGGCACGGCAAGUCCUUCGCUGUAAGUGAACGUCCGCCAAAUGGCAGCGCAAGGGUGGGCAUUACGGCCAUGCAGAAUGCCACUUACUGCGGCAACUGGUCUCAGGUGGUCCUCGGGGCCACCUCUGCCAUCAUGUUCCUCCUUGUUCUCUGCGUCAGCUACGCCCUUUACAUUCUCGUCACCCCGUAUGGACAGAGCAUCAUGAACGGCGUGCUACUCUCCAUCGUCAUGCACCCGCAGAGCCGCCUGCGGUCGUCACUCUACAUGGGCACUGCUGUCGAUCGUAUGACGCGCAUGCAGCAGCGCUGGGUGGUGCGGGGGCGGUUGAUGGGCCUUGUCGGUUCGUGGCUAUCCUUGUGCCACUUCGCGUCCUUUGUGGUGAUGCAGGGGACCUUCUUCUUGGGCCUCAACAAGAUCCACGUGCACGCACACUCAGCGCUCCUGGAAGAGGCCUCCGCAGCUGGACGUGGUGCCGGAGUGGGCGUCAAGGGCGCCAGCACGCGCACCAUGCCGCGUUGCCCGUACGCCUCCCAUGGCGCAACCAAUCCAGCGACGCAGUCAGCUGCGUCGACCACGCGACAAGGGGGCGCUGGCGGCGUGUCGCGCCCCGCGGGGACCUCCACAUCCUCGACGGCCGCCUCGAGAGCACCUCCUUCGACGGGCGUACCGCCAGCCCAGCUUCACCGACGCCUCGUGUCCACCCCGCGCGGGCGCCGUGCCCUGCGCUGGCUCACCAUCUCCAUCAUCGUCAUUGUUGCCCACUUGCUGGUUGGUGUCACCUAUUUUGCGCUCCUUCACGCUGCUUUGGGUGUUGUGUUUGCCGUCACGGUGCCCUUCCUGCCUGCUGACACCUUCGUCAGCUCCAUGGGGCGCCUGUGGCGGGCUGCAGUCCUCCUGUUCUUCGUGGUGGGCCUCACUCUUAACUUGACGGCUGAUGUACUGUCCAUCAGCGAGGCGGUGCGACGCACCACAUCUGCUGUCGUAGGCAGCGGUGGCGGUGGCGGGGAUGAUGCGGCCAUGGUAGCUCCGUCCACCUCUAACGUCCGUGAUGGAGUUGUAGCGGUGCUGGGUGUGGAGAACUGCACCCCGACUGCGCCGUUUGCGAAGGUGGCCGUCACGGGCGACAGCUUAGCAAGCGGGGAGGACGCAACGAGCGAGGCGGCCGCGGCGGCGACGUCGCGCGCCGACGUGGACGCGCUGAGUGUGUUGGGUGAGUACCGCAGCCGUAUCGAGGCCUUCCUCAUUGGCAAGAUCCAGGACCUCGUCGUGCAGGAGUUGGCGGAUAUGUUCAGCGACGGCAACGUCUCGAAGAUGGUCGAGACGCUCAUGGAGGUGCUUCCGCCGCAGCUGCGCGCGGUGGUGACGCGCGAUGACACGGUGCUCGCUGCACUUGAGAAGUCGACUAGCGAGGGCGGCACCUCGUCAUUGAGCGGAGGAGAGGACGGCACUCACGAAAAGGCUGCUGCGCAGCCGCUCUCGUGGCGCGCUGUGCUGGCGAAUGCGCGUGGCCUGCGCCCCGCAAGCGCCAUCAAGUCGCUCGUCUACGACUCCCUCUCGGGCACGUCUGCCAGGACUCUCAACAGCGCGAGUGACACGAGUGUCCGCGGCGCGGCGGCGGCGGUCCACAAGGUAGAGAUCAACUGGCUCACCGUCUCCCGCCUGAUGGCAUCUCGCCUGCUGCCCUACGUCGAGCACGCGCUGCGUCUGUUCUUCCGAGUUGGCUCCAAUCUGCUCGGCCUCUUCGACAGCAUCUACGCCGUCAUUCUCUUUGUUUUCUGCUACCGCUACCUCACCCAGCUCGAGCACACAGUGCUCUACUACGGCGUGGCGAAGUUGCUGCGCGUGAUGCAGCCGGAGCUGGGCGAUCACCACGCCCGCAACAUUGAGCAGGACAUCACAGUCUCCUUCAUCACGCUUCUUCAGUCGUUCUGGCACCUGACGUGGUUUCACUUCUGCAUUACGUUCUGCGCCUUCAAACUCUGGGGAUUCCCGACGCCGUUUUUGUUGGGGCUCGUCUCCGUCGUCCUGGCGCUCUUUCCGCUCGUACCGAAGUGGUUGAGCCCGUGCUCCAUCGCGCUGGUGUACAUGCUGGUGCAGCUCGGAUCGCUCGUCACCUCUGAAGGGACGAGUUGCAGUGGCAGCCGCGGGCCAGGGGAGGCGCACGCGGCUGCUUCGACCGUCAUUCCUCUCCUCUCGUUCCCGCCUGGCCGAUCGUGGAUCGAGGUUCUCGUGUGGGGCAAGCCUUAUGUUCUCCACUACACCCGCGCCCUCAGUUUUGGCCUGGCCGUCCUGCUGGAGUGCGGCGACGAAUGGCUUCUCUGCGUCUCGCGAGGACUGCGCGGCGGCUUCUUCACGGAGGCCGACGGGAAGGGCCGCGAGCAGCUGCAGCCCUUUGUGAUCGGGACAGCGCUGGUGCUGGGAUUUGUUGCCUACGGCACCCGCGGCAUCGUCUUCGGCCCUUUGACGGUCAUCGUCGCGCGCGUACUCUUCGAUAACUGGGACAUUGUGCUGGCGAACCGCGAGCCCGGCCGUCUGACCUUACCGCCGUCGUCGUUUGUGGGUGUGGAAGGGAACGACGACGAGGAAACCUCGAUGGUGGAAUCACCAUAGCGGGGCGCCGCCACGUAUGAGCUCCGCGCCAGAGCGGGUUGACGCCACGCGUGCUCACGCGCGCAGGUGUACGGCAAACCCCCCCCCUCAGCCCACCUUGUCACACACUGCUUCACUCGCAGCCCUUGCGGAGACUAAGAGAUAGACCAGCUGCACACGUAGACAUAUAUAUAUAUAUAUAAUACAUCGGUAUUUGUGCACAUCCGCAUUCAACGAGAUAUCCACUGAGGGCACACACACACACACACACGGAUCCCUCCCCUUCUCCUCACGCAUCGACGCAUCUUCGUCAGGUGCGUCGACGAAGAUAUCAAAAGCAAAAAGACGUUCACAUCGAAAAAAACGUACAGCUCUGGUGGUUUUGUGGGAGAGGAA